rnacentral:rRNA from 1 species
GAUGAACGCUGGCGGCGUGCCUAAUACAUGCAAGUCGAGCGAACAGAUGAGGAGCUUGCUCCUCUGACGUUAGCCGCGGACGGGUGUGUAACACGUGUAUAACCUACCUAUAAUACGGGUAUAACUUCGGGAAACCGGAGCUAAUACCGGAGAAUAUAUUGAACCGCAUGGGUCGAUAGUAAAAGACGGUGUUGCUGUCACGUAUAGAUGGAUCCGCGCCGCAUUAGAUAGUUGGUAAGGUAACAGCUUACCAAGGCGACCAUGCGUAGCCGACCUGAGAGGGUGAUCGGCCACACUGGAACGGAGACAGGGUCAAGACUACUAAGGGACGCAGCAGUAGGCAACGUGACGCAAUAGGCGAAAGUCUGACGGAGUGACGCCGCGUGAGUGGUAACGGCCCUCGGUGCGUAAAAACCUGUUAUUAGGGAUGAACAAAUGUGUACGUAAAUAUGCACGUAUUGACGGUACCGAAUCAGAAAGCACCGGCUAACUACGUG